rnacentral:lncRNA from 1 species
GAGAGAAGUUAUGCAUAAGUAAUGGCUGCAUGAAUGGCCACAUCAAGCUACCUCCCAGAGCCCCAUCUCACUAAACGGCAGUCAUCUUGCUCCACCGACAUACAACAUUUAGUGACAUUCUGCCUGGAGCCACUCUAAGCGAUUGCACCAGAAAUCCUGACCACAGUCUCAAACAUCCUUGCAUUUGACUUUAAAAAAUGCAAUACACCCUGCAGGGAGAAUGUCGGGGAUUGGCGCUCCUCGGCAGGGUCAUGAUCAGGUGUGAGGUGUUACAACUAAUUUGUUUCCAAGGUAAAGAAAUCAUGCUGUGAAGGAAAGAGGAAAAACAAAAAGGAAAACAUAUUGGACAUUAUUCCUAUAGUAAACAUCAUCUCACUUGUAUUCUCAAGUGAUGUUCCGAGUGGGAGAGAAAGAAAUUGUUAAAGAACAAAGACAGCAACAGUGAGCGACCAGCAAGCCAGGAUCCCUUGCUCACCUUGUGCCUUGUGAGGGAACCUGCCCCAGGGAAGAGACCCACAAGUGGCUUGGGGUGGCAAAGAGUCUGGGGAUUUUAUGUUCCUGAGAGGAGAGUUUCACUGUUAACUAAGGAUUCAAGUUUAUAGCCUGGAUAGGGUGGAAUGAAUCCAUAAGUCCAUACUAUGAAUGCAUAAGUCGGCCCAUGAUGAGUUCAAAUAAGCUCCUGUUUUCACUGUUCAAGAGAAUCUUCCUUUAGGUCCAAUGUGCUAUUGUUGUUUAUAGUCUAUGGUCCUUUCUCAGACCCGGUUAGAAUCAGAAGGCAUGAAACACAGCAGGCAGAUUUGAUAUCUUGGAGGCAAAAUCUCCUGCAAGUAGAAAGUUCUUUACAGAGUGAGG